CAGGCUUAACACAUGCAAGUCGAGGGGCAGCAUGGUCUUAGCUUGCUAAGGCCGAUGGCGACCGGCGCACGGGUGAGUAACACGUAUCCAACCUGCCGUCUACUCUUGGACAGCCUUCUGAAAGGAAGAUUAAUACAAGAUGGCAUCAUGAGUCCGCAUGUUCACAUGAUUAAAGGUAUUCCGGUAGACGAUGGGGAUGCGUUCCAUUAGAUAGUAGGCGGGGUAACGGCCCACCUAGUCUUCGAUGGAUAGGGGUUCUGAGAGGAAGGUCCCCCACAUUGGAACUGAGACACGGUCCAAACUCCUACGGGAGGCAGCAGUGAGGAAUAUUGGUCAAUGGGCGAGAGCCUGAACCAGCCAAGUAGCGUGAAGGAUGACUGCCCUAUGGGUUGUAAACUUCUUUUAUAAAGGAAUAAAGUCGGGUAUGCAUACCCGUUUGCAUGUACUUUAUGAAUAAGGAUCGGCUAACUCCGUGCCAGCAGCCGCGGUAAUACGGAGGAUCCGAGCGUUAUCCGGAUUUAUUGGGUUUAAAGGGAGCGUAGAUGGAUGUUUAAGUCAGUUGUGAAAGUUUGCGGCUCAACCGUAAAAUUGCAGUUGAUACUGGAUAUCUUGAGUGCAGUUGAGGCAGGCGGAAUUCGUGGUGUAGCGGUGAAAUGCUUAGAUAUCACGAAGAACUCCGAUUGCGAAGGCAGCCUGCUAAGCUGCAACUGACAUUGAGGCUCGAAAGUGUGGGUAUCAAACAGGAUUAGAUACCCUGGUAGUCCACACGGUAAACGAUGAAUACUCGCUGUUUGCGAUAUACGGCAAGCGGCCAAGCGAAAGCGUUAAGUAUUCCACCUGGGGAGUACGCCGGCAACGGUGAAACUCAAAGGAAUUGACGGGGGCCCGCACAAGCGGAGGAACAUGUGGUUUAAUUCGAUGAUACGCGAGGAACCUUACCCGGGCUUAAAUUGCAGAUGAAUUACGGUGAAAGCCGUAAGCCGCAAGGCAUCUGUGAAGGUGCUGCAUGGUUGUCGUCAGCUCGUGCCGUGAGGUGUCGGCUUAAGUGCCAUAACGAGCGCAACCCUUGUUGUCAGUUACUAACAGGUCAUGCUGAGGACUCUGACAAGACUGCCAUCGUAAGAUGUGAGGAAGGUGGGGAUGACGUCAAAUCAGCACGGCCCUUACGUCCGGGGCUACACACGUGUUACAAUGGGGGGGUACAGAGGGCCGCUACCACGCGAGUGGAUGCCAAUCCCCAAAACCUCUCUCAGUUCGGACUGGAGUCCGCAACCCGACUCCACGAAGCUGGAUUCGCUAGUAAUCGCGCAUCAGCCACGGCGCGGUGAAUACGUUCCCGGGCCUUGUACACACCGCCCGUCAAGCCAUGGGAGCCGGGGGUACCUGAAGUGCGUAACCGCGAGGAGCGCCCUAAGGUAAAACUGGU
rnacentral:rRNA from 1 species